UGACUUAGAAAGUUGCCAAACUUAUAAUUAAAUUUUAGCGUGCUUUUUCCCUUCUUGGCCGCAAACACUGAGGGUGGCACUUCGUGGUUCUGUCACUUUUCAGGCUGCGUCGUGUUUUGGAUGCCCAAGCUUUAACCUUGCCUGCUGGCAUCUCUUUACCUUCUUCCAUGCACCAAAUGGAUGGGAUGUAACUUGUGCCUAGAAGAAAUAAAGUUGAGGCAUUUACGUGUGGACUAUCUUCUGGGUUCGUUUUCUGUGACUUUGUCGGAUAAGGCAAGUUUAUAGAAGUUGGAUUAAUAGGCCUAAUUUUAACAAGCCCUUCAUAAGGAUUCUGUGAUAUUUUUGCCACGAUGGGAUUUAGUUGUUGAAUUAUGUAGUGAUAUUUUCUUACUAUCUUUUCCCUGUUGCUUAAUGACCUCUAAGAGUUUGGGGUGCUUGAAGUUUGGGGUUUAGACAGACAAUACAGCAAAAUCAGCCUUCCUGUGGGGCCAGCCUCUUCUGCAGCUGUAUAGUUAUUGAAAGCCAGUCAUGGCUGUGUGUUUGUGGGUUCAAGAAGGCUGGCAUCGUUACUAGGAUUUUUUUUUUUUAAAUACUUGGGUCAAGAUUUGGCAAAUUCAUUAUUUUCAUCAUUCCCUCCUUCAGCAGCUAGCUUGAGAACAUGGCAAGUGUACAGGUUAAAUCCACCUUGGGGAGGCAGCGUGGUACAGUGGCUGAGGUUGAAGGCACUCAGCACUGGUGCAGAGUGCUUGAUUUUGGUUUAAGUCUCACUUUGAGGGCCUUCCUUCUGUGUUAUAUGGAGUUAUCCCAUGCCCUGCUUACCCAGGGAUGUCCUGAAGAGCAAUACCAACUCCUUGGGUGAUGCAUGUUUGUACCCAAAGCAUUUUACAGCAUCAGUUCCUAUGUAAAAGCAAAUGCAUAAUCCUGAUUUCUGAUCCCACGGCAGAAGAAAGCUCCAGCGUUUGUGAACGGCUAGUACAAACAGCAACUGUAGUAGAGUAAGGGAUGACACUGUUUAUUUUAGGGAGAGACAAUAAUAGAUUUUAAAGGGUCCUGUUCUUUUCAUGUUUUGUGGUACAGUUCCUUUGGGUUUGCUUAUACUGGAUGGCUUAUAUUUGGGUUUACUAAUGCCCUUGCAGAAAUACUGUUUUGUUCAAUGCAGGUGGGCAGCAUUUCUCUUGACUUGCUCUUUUUGACUUUGUGAGUGGAAGUACAGUGAAUGUGGCAGGCCGUAGUCUUAGGUGUACCCUGGAUAGAGGUCACCAAGGGUGGGAGUUAGGAGGAACACCACAGUCUCUGUCUUCUCGCUUGGCCAUCUGCUGUGAGACCACACAGCACCUGGAGAGAAUGAAGGCUCUGCUGAAGGAUCAGGAUCUGGUGUCCUUGGGUCAGUUCUGGCCCUGUACUCUCAAGGCCGGUAUCCAUAGUGAUUUCUUUUGUACCACCAUGUUGUGGAAGCUCAGAAAGCCACUGACCCUGCAGAGGGUCAGCAAUUUCCAUGUUUUUGUAGGCUGUGUAACUAACUACAUUUCCUCCGAUUGAUUUCAUCCCCCGGUGUGUGUGAGAGUUGCAUCUCAGGGUGGAACUUUUAAAAUAACUCCUUGGUCUUAACAUGGUGAGAGGUUUUGCUAGUCACUUGUUGCUUGAAUUACUUAUAGCUGCUCAACUCUAAAAACUACAUAUUAAGCUGUGAUAAAAUGGCUUUAUUCGUAUUUUAUAAUAAAUUUCCUAACUUGGAGUGCCAUUACAGCAGCACAUGUUAGAACUGGUUAGAGCUUUUCUUCAUGUGUGCUGGGCACUGAUAAGUCACUUGCCAAUGUAGCUCUUCCAUUGUUGGGCAGUGAUGAGCAUUACCUGUUUUAAUAAGUACGUUUGAUUUUCUUAUAUGUGAACAUUGCUACUUACUUAAUGGUGAUGAUUAAAGAGGCUCAAAUUGUUUAUUUUUAGUAGUUUCAGUUCACUUGCUCCCAGCUACAGGAGACAGUGGCGGAAGAAGAACCUUGAAAAUGUUUUUCAAACUUUCCUGACCACAGAAAAUAAUAUACAUUGCCUCUAACCUGCUCCCACCAUAGGAAGCUCAUCUUAGCCCAUAGAUAUGUCUGUAUAGAUUUCUGUGUUGAGGCAAGAAGCACUAAUAAUUGAGCUAUCUUCAGAGGUAAGAACAAGGUUGAGAAACCUACAAAGGGUGUUAAGGCCGUGGACAGUAAGGCUCUACUACUGGAGAAGAGUGAGGUGUGGAGAACUGGCUCUGUCAAGAUGUGUGCUCAGCUGCGCUUGAGGGAGCCCAAGAGGAGUUACACAGCCUUUCCACACUCUGGUCUCCUGCUUGUAGUGACCUUGGAGGCUACUGAAACAGGCUGUAGAGUCAACCUCCUGGGACUGGGGUCAAGGCCAAGAAAUGAUAGACAGUUAUCAGCAUGGUUCCAGUUCAUAUUGUCUUUCAAUAAGUUCUUUUUUCUUCUUUCCCUCUGUGCUGGUUAAUUUUAGCUGUCAAUUUGACACUGCUUUAGAAUUACCUGGGAAGAGAGUCAUAGGGACUAUCUAUCUCUUGGCCAGUAGGAGGUUGUCUUUACUGUUGACUGAGGGAAGAAGACCCAGGCAGUUGUUUGCUGUGCCAUUCCACUCCCUAGGCAGGGAGAGAGGAGGAAGCUGGGUGAGAACAAGUAAGCGAAGAUGAAUGCCUUGCUUCUGUUCUCUGUGCUCCUCUGUGAGUGUGAUGCCCUUGCUCUUAGCUGCCUUCCCCGCAGUAAUGGGCUGUAACCUGGGAUUUCAAGCCAAGGGAACCGUCCCCUCUCCCGUGUUGCUUUUUGUCAGGAUAUUUCACAACAGCAAGAGAAAUGAAACUAGGACUUCUGUACAGGCCAUGCCUCUCUUCCCAUGCCUGCUUCAAAUUUGUUGGGCUUCCGAGCCAAGAAUUUAGCCUUUUAACAUUUAGUUUAGAAAAUGUGUAAGAUGAGAGAUUUGCAUUAGGCCAGCAUUUCUUAACCUGAGCUGUAUACUGGAGCUAUCUGAACCCUUAAAAUGAACCACAUAUCAGAUGACUUAAUUGUGUAUCUAGGGGUGUGAAUAUGGCAAUGGGGGAAGUGUUGUAAUAGGUUUUUUUUCCCGCCCCCCGUAAUAGUGCUUAGUUUUUGGUGCUGGGAAUUGACUUUGGGGCUUCAUGCAUGUUAAGUAAGUCCUGUAUCUCUGAGCUUUUUGAAGCACAUGAGUAUCCCUGGGAAAUGGAAUUUUCAUGGCUGAAGUCUACUGAAACUGUAUACCCCAACUUUUAUUUAUUUAUUUUUCAUUUAUUUACUGUGUGUGCACACCCACACACAUGCAUGCAUGUGUGUAUAUGUGCAUGUGUAUGUGCAUGUAUAAAUGUAUGUGUGUGUAUAUGUAUGUGUGUGUAUAUGUGCAUAUAUGUAUGUGUGUGCAUGUGUGUGUGUGUGCAUAUGUGUGUGUGUGUGUGUGUGUGUGUGUGUUUGUCACAGUGCUUGUGUGUCAGGAUAGCUUGCAGGUAUCAGUUCUUUCUUACUGUGUGAAUGUCUGGACUAGAACUCAGGUUGUCUGGCUUCCACUGAGCCUUCUGCUCUGCUCUGCCCUCUUUGUUGAAAUAGGCACAAGAACUAUGCAGUUGCUACAGUUCCCAUAAUCUUUAUUGUUUCCUCAGAGUGGGGACUAUUGGUUGCAGUUGCCUGAAUGAGACUCAUCUUUCUUACACCUACCUAUGUCCUCCACCUUAUUAAAAGAAGGAGGAAAAGUUCUGGUAGUUGGAGAGGGCUCUGUUUCAGGGUGAAAGUGAGAAAAGUGUGUAUUGAACAUGUACACAAAACAUGCUAGCAGUCCAGGGCUGUAAUAUAAGAUGCCAUUUGUAAAAAUUGUUAAAAGUAACUAGUGGUUUGAGUAAAAAUGGCCCCGAUGGCCUCACAUAGUUAAAUGAAAAUGCAUGGGAGUGGCAUGAAUCUUUAGGGAGUGGCACUGCUUUAGAGGGAUUAGGAGGAGAGGCCUUGCUGAAGUAGGUGUGGUCUUGUUGGAGGAAAUAUAUCAUUGAGGAUGGGGUUUAGGGUUUCAAAAGCUCAAAUCAGGCCCAGUGUCUCUUCCUGCUACCUGUGGAUCCAGAUGUAGAACUCCCAGCUCCUUCUCCUGCACCUUGUCUACCUGUAGGCUAUCAUGCUUCUUGUCAUGCUGACAGUGGACUGAACUUUCUAGCUGUAAGCCAGCUCCAGUUAAAUGCUUUGCUUUAUAAGAGUUGCCAUGGUCAUGGUCAUGGUGUCUCUUCACAGCAAUAGCAGUGACUAAGAUAGAGGUUAUGUCACUUUCACACUUCCAGCCUGGUUCCCGUGGCAACUGCUUGAGCUUCAUGAUGUUUUGGGUGGGACUGUCCUGUGCUUUGCACAGGGUUUAACAGCAUCCCAGGUUCUACCUAGUGACACUUCUCCAGUGGUGGCAGCCAGAAUGCUUCCCAAAUACUGCCCAAUGUAACUGGGGAGGCAACCGCCAUACUGAAACUACUCUUUCAAAAGGCUUAUGAGAGCCUGUGACUAGCCAGGGACAGGAAGGAAGCCUAGAGAGGCAGAGAGCUGAGUCUGGCUGGGCACUGGGACCUGGGAUGGGCCAUCAGGGUUGUGGUGUGGUGUGGUGUGGUGUAAGCCACCUGGUAUUUCAAAGCUGACCUGCAUUGGAAGCCUGUUUCUAUACUCAGAAGCUGUUUCAGCUCUCCCCCACUGUAUUAUUAUUGCCUUUUCUUUAGGAUGGGGAUAGUAAGUGCUUUGAUAGAGUAAAAGAAUAAUUGAGAUAAUGCAUGCCAAGUAGUAUGUGUGGUUUCUUUAUAUUCUCCAUGUGCCAGGUGCAUCUGGGAAAAAUAUAGACAACAAAACUGUACUCCCAUGGAGCUUAGAUUCUGGAAGUAAGAAGAAUAUAUGACUACUAGGUGGUAAGAACGUUGGAGGAAAGGAAAGGCUUCUGCCUUACAGAAAGUGAAGCAAGGUGAACAGAUAAAAUCCCAAAGCCAGGGAAUGUCCACGUUAGCAAAGCCAAGAAAAGCCAUGGCAUGGUGGCCUGUGCUUGAACUUUGCUCUACGGUGAAGACGCAGUGGCACCUACCUAUCUCAAGGCUGAGCUGCUGUGAACUGUGAGGAUGACAGGGUGCAUCCCAAGGGCGAAAGGGAAGGGAGGAGCAUGUCGGUCCCCCUGUCAUGGAGAAAAGCUGGGUGUAUUCCCGCAGCAGUGGAAAGCCCCUAAAGAGUGUUGAGCAAGACAGGGUCAUGUGUACAUUUGAAUUUUGAGAAUUCUGUGCUAGAAAAAUGGAUUGAGGCAAUGCAAAGACAAGGGAGACCUUUAUCCCCACCCUGAGGUGGGGCUCUGCCAGGGCCCUCACAAGUUGCUGGCGUGAAUAGAGGGCAUGGAUGGCUGUGGAGAUGGUAAGAAGGGGAUAGCUUUUAGAUGAAACUGGUAGAACUUGGGGAUGAAUAGAUCUGGGUGUGUGGGAAAGGGAGGGAUUGUUUUCUAGGGGAGACAGUGGAGACUGGAACAGGAGAGGUUUGAGGGAGAAGAGAAAAGAUUGUUUCCCAGACACAAUGUUCUUCAGGUAUUUGUGGGAUCUCCAGUUGGAAAUGUCUAGAGGUUCUGACCGGAAUAGGCAGUGGUAAGUUUCCAGCUAUCAGGUGGUAUUUAGUCAGGGUUAGUUGACUUUGUACACCACAAACAUACUGGGGUUGGGGGCAGUGCUGUGAAUGAACUCAUUUAACAGUAGCUUGGGCCUGACCAUGGCCUUGUGACUGUCAUAGUUACUAAAAAGGGGAUCUGAAGCACAUAGGUGCUUAGUUCCUUAUGCAAAGUCCCUCCUGGAAUUUUUAAGGACAAGAUUCGAAGCCAGGCCUCAUGUCUUCUGAGUUCACUUUCUUAACUACUAUGGAGUGUCUCAUCCAGUGAGCAUGCAGCAAGUGGACACAUAGAAACCCCCCCCCCCAGCCUGUUCUGAGAAACCUGGGCAGUUUGAAGGACAAGCGUCUGCCUUGAUCAAGGCAGAAGAAGUAAGGAAAAGGAAUUAUAUAGAGAGAGGGAUAUCAGACUGGAGAGGAAGCAGGUUAGAGCUUGGGCUGUAGGAGGAGAGAAGCUGAAGUGUGAAAUCCAGGAAACAUUGGCCCCUCCUGUGCUGAUUUUCAGGCAAGAACUUGGACCCAGCCUAGCAAGCAGCUGUAAGGGUGUGCUUGUGUUAAUUACCGGAAUCCCAUCAAAGCCAGAGAAAAGAUGGAAAUUUGGGGUUUUGAAACCAAUUUCUCUCUUUUUAAAAUAGACUUCUGGUUAACCCUUAAGAAUAUUUAGAAUCACCUAAAUAUGCCUUAUUAAUAAGGUGCUCUAAAUAUGCGGUCUCUGAACAUCAGGUGCUCACAGGCACUGAAGCUGCAGCAGUGAACCUUGUUAGUAUAAGGCUGUAUUCCUUAUUUGUGAUUGCUUUUGUCAAUAAUAUGAAAUCUAAUUUCUCUCUCUCUCUCUCUCUCUCUCUCUCUCUCUCUCUCUCAACAGCCUCAUCCUACUAUGUUGUAUUAGUGUCUCUUAAUGAGUGUGAAGAUGCAUUAAUGUCUUUUCUCCCCAGUGAUCCCGCGCUUUAGGAGAAGGGACUGGAUUCUAGAUGUCUGUGUCAGCUGGUGCUGGACAACAGCCACAUGGUCACUUGUUAUCUGCAUCCCCACUCACUGGCUGUGAUUUUCUGUAAUGCUUUCAAUCUACUGCAAGGAAACAUUUCUUUGAUGAGUGGUAAGGACUGCAUUAAUGGGUGGGUAUAAGAAUAAAGUUGGGGAAUAUGCUGAUUUAUUAAUGGUUCUAGAUUCUCUUUCAGGAUUUGUGACUUCCCUAGCCCUGGAAAGUUUGCUAGGUUUCUAGUACCAGAUAUGACUUCCCUCUUGGUGACUGGGCCUUAAGUCCAAUUAGCUAUUUUUUACCACCAAGAUAUAUGUGUCACUAUAACACUUAGGGAUAUUGUGCCAUGGUAGUAAUGGUUUUAGUUCGGAGGUGUCAUAGUUGAAUAGACUAUUGGUUGGUUUCCUCCCUUGCAAGUUUGCAUGGCGCUUUUUAAUAUCAUGAAAGCCAGUCCUUUAAGAUCUGAAAGCCAGGACACUUUCAGAUCAGAAGCAGCUCGGGUCCUCCAGUUGAUGUGUCAGGCCCUAAUGUCAUAUACAUACAGAUGAUUUCAUAUGAACAAAGAAGGUUAUAUUUAUAUAUUUGUGUGUGUGUGUGUGUGUGUGUGUGUGUGUGUGUGUAUGUACACCUGUGCUUGUCUUUUCAUCUUGUCUUACGUUAAAGAGACCUGCAUUCUACACUUUCCUCCUGGAUUUAUCAGGUUUUGGAAUUUCCCUCUGCAUGCUCAGAAGCAUAUUAUUUUGGUUGUAUACUUUAAUUAUUUGUUCUUAAAGCAAUAAAAUGCAUUGUAUUUGCUAACGAAGAGGAAGUUAACAUGGAAAUUAUCAAUGCGGGUUACUGUUUGAUUUAGAAAUAUUUGUAUAAGGCUAAGACUUUAAAAGGAAGACAGAAUUCACUGCCUUUAAAAUGUGUCCUGUGUUUUGUACAUACAUUCAUAUUUGAAAUAUAUGAAGGCUGACUUUGUGUGGUUUUGUGAGUCCCAGCCAUGCAGUCUGUGUAGGAUGGCAGUGUAGACUUUCUGUGCUUUCUUAUUUUCAUGUAUUCACUUAGAACACAUUUUUUCUUUGAAUCUGUUGUGAUUUCUAAGACAUUUCUUUCGUGUUACUUCACUCUUUUAGCUAACGUGCUCAGUAUUUUCACGUCUGAACUUGGAGUCGGGGAAACCUGAGCUCUCUUCCGUGGUUUGUUGUAUCCUUGCUACAUGAGACCUCUUGGGGAAAUAAAAGCCACUAGUUCUUUAGGUGGACUCCUGGAUCUCUUAUGUUAACACUGAUGAGCAGACAUUAUAUACUAUCAUUACAAUUAGGAGUGUCUACAUUUUUCCCUUAGCUGGUGGCCAGUACUGUUUGGCUCAGUGCCAAAUGUUGUUCAUCCUCCCAUACCUCUGUGAGUUCUCCAUCUUACCAGAGAUGGUUUCUUAAAUCAGGCUGGGAAUUUCAAAUUCAACUUUGCUUCUCAUUUUGAGACUUAAUAUCUCUAUGAGCUUGUGGCUGCUUCUUCUACUUUUUUUAUGAACCAAUGAGUGUUUUAUUGAGGUUACUAACAGGGCUCUGUGUGAAUGGUUACUCACUAGGAGCAGAGAUGAUUCAAAAGCAGCCAAAUCACCCAGAGCCCACCCCAACAUGGCCAACAAUUUCUUUUCUUUUCUUUUCUUUUCUUUUCUUUUCUUUUCUUUUCUUUUCUUUUCUUUUCUUUCCUUUCCUUUCCUUUCCUUUCCUUUCCUUUCCUUUCCUUUCCUUUCCUUUUCUUUUUUUGAAUAUUUUCUUUAUUUACAUUUCAAAUGUUAUCCCCUUUCCUGGGUUUCCCCCCCUCCUGGAUACCCCCAUCCCACCACCCCCCGCUCCCUCCCCCCUACUUUUAUGAGGGUGUUUCUCCACCCACCCACCUAUUCCCACCUCCCUGCUCUUGAUUCUCUUAUACUGGGGUAUCUAUCGAGCCUUCAUAGGACCAAGGACCUCUCCUCCCAUUGAUGCCUGACAAGGCCAUUCUCUGCUACCUAUGCAGCUGGAGCCUUGUGUACUCCUUGGUUGAUGGCUUAGUCCCUGGGUGCUCUAGAGGGUCUGGUUGGUUGAUACUGUUGUUCUUCCUGUGGGGUUGCAAACCCCUUCAACUCCUUCAGUCCUUUCUCUAACUCCUCUAUUGGGGACCCUGCUCUCUUUUCCUAUUAAAAAUAGAAUGUUUUCCCCAAUCCCAAAGAGGGAACAAAUGAAAGGGAUCAAACCUAUCAAGGCUUUGAAGUUUGUGGAACAGGAAUUCCAGUGCUGGUGGUAAGAGCUGUGGGUCCUACCUACAUUAAGCACUGGAGGCUAAGCUAAGCCCCCUGGCCCCCAUUCUGUACUCUGUAAGUGAUACUCAGAGGCUAAGUCGAUGAUGUCUUAUACAACCUGAAAAGCAUUUCUACUUAGGAAGGGCUUUCUUAGAAGAAGGGAGUUUAUGAAUUUUAACUCUUUCCCUUUCUGAAUCCUCAUUUGUGAUCUUUUGAGUUUGUACUUCCUUUUCCUUAUCCCUUUCUGUUACCUCCCUCCAGGCCUCCAUUUCUUACCUAAAGUCCACUCUUCUUGUGGACUUGCUGUCAUAACUGUACCACUUUUCAAAGUGUGGACUAUGUGAACCAUUUGAGGAUUUAAUAGUAAUGUUUGGCUUCAAGCCCCUGUACCUGUUGAAUCAAGAUCUUCUAAGAGCAGGACCCAAGAAGGCAGUGGUGGUGGACUUCUUCUAUGACUGUGCUCCAAUGCCACCUAGUGCUGUGCAGGUCUGCUAGGGAAUGUCACUGAACUAUCUGUGUCUUCCUCAGGCUUCUUGAAAUGUUAAUUGUUGGCAAGGCUGUGACCUGAGAUUCUGCACUGUCACCUCAAUCCAGGGUAAUAAAUCCCUGUUGGCCUUCAGGAGACUUCCUAAGGGAUCCUUCCGUUCUCACAGUGAAUCUUAUACAGAGUACCUAACCUUUGCCCCGGUUGUUCUGUGAUAAUGAACCUUAGUCAAUUUGUCAGUCACUUUGCUUUUAUUUGUUAAGGAUAUCCCAUAAACUUAUGUGUUGAAACACUUCUUCCCCUAUUUGUGGCUAUGUUUGGGAAGGUUGUAUAUUUCUUAGAAGGUGGGUCUAACUAGAGGAAAAUGGGUCAUGAAGCUGGGCCUUGAGUAGUCCCUUGGGAGCAGCCAGGUUCCAGUGGGCUGUCUCCCUCUAGACUACAGGUGCUGUAAUUAGCUGCUUGAGGUGCACACUGUUACUCACGGUCAUGUCUUCUCUCAGAAGGGCAUCACCUCAGAACAUGAGGGAACAUAAGUGCUUCCUUCUGUGGGUUGCUUCUCCUCAUGGCGUUUAAUCACAGUGAUAAGAAAAGGAACUAAACUAGGAGAACCGCCUAGACUUUCAGAUGUAUGGGGUGGGACUUCGUGAGCUCCUCCCCCAGCCAUGCCAGGAUUGUGACUGGCUGGGUCUUGUGAAUAUCUUGUGCAUGCAGUAGGCAGUGGCAGUCAGAAUCUGAGAGUGCAACGGCCUUGCCAUGCCUGGCAAGUACUGCUGUACUUCUGCUGCUUCUGGCUCUUCAGUCUGUCUGACUUUGGUAAUGAUCCCUGAGGAAGGGGAUGUAUUAGGGACAUCUUAGAGCUGACACUCCUCGGUCCCUUAUUCUCUGCAUGUUGACCAGUUGUGGGUCUAGGUAUUAAUAACUCUCACUGUAAGAAGAAGCUCUCCUGCUGAGGGCUGAGAGACAGUAAUCUGUGGGUAUAAAGGUAACUUAAGAGGCAUUUUAUUACUAUGUUUGUUUAGAAGACUAAUAGUAGCAGGCUUUUCCCCUCGGGCCUGUGACUUGACUAACCGAGGGUUCUUGGCCCAGUUGAUGAUAGCAGGUGUGAGUGGGUCAGGCUUUAAAUGCAAGCUGAAAGUGAUGGAUUGCCUCCGUAACAUUUAUGCCACUAUUUCAUCUGUGGCAUGGCUUGACAGGGCAGUAAUUGCAGCUCGUUUGCAGGGUUCACAGCCGGGUAAAACUGUUGAUUAUGUAGCUAGCAUGUAGAGCACCUUCCAGCACUAUGCAAGCUAGCACUAGGACAGGGCUUCCUGGUCAGUACCAGGUUGAUGUGUCCGUGUCCUCUGUGCGACACAACAUGCCUUUACUGCUUAGGUCUUACCAUCAGCAGUGUAACCCUCCGGUGAGCAUCACCUUGAAAAGCGGUAACUCAGACCUGGCUCUGCCGGAACCUUCCCACCUCUCCCUGGACUUGUGAGCUGUGGCUGGAAUUCGAGUCAGUGUGGGGCAGGCGGAAUGUGGCUGAGGCAAAGAGCUCCAGUGGAAAGAAAUGGCCAGUUGCCUGCUUUCCCACACCUAUGGCUGGCUCAGUAAGCUGAGACAAACUCGGACAACAGGGGCCUGGAUGCUCUGCCUGCUAACGUGGCAGAAAAGUCCUGAGGCUUGGCCCUUGGCUGCCUCCAAUGAGCUGUCUACAACUUCCAGGAAA